AAGAACUGGCAUGUUUAUAAGGUAAAUCAUCACUGUCACGAUACACAACCUCAAACCCGCUCGUGAUGGCACCUCUCGUGGAGACAAGGCCAACCAACAAAACGAACGCUUCCUUUUAAAUUGUUAUUUGACAUAUAUAACAUUAAAACAUGAUUAACAUAAUCAAAAGCGCGGAAAGCAACGAUAGCAACAGGGAAACCAUCCCGUCACAGCUCGACAUCGGGGUGUCACUAGUCAUGAGCUAUUACAGAGUUAACUAAACAACUACAAAUCCGGAAAAUGGGAACAAUGUCUAAAAAUAACAUGAACAACAUAAAAUAAGGGAGAAGAUCUGGUGCAGCGGAUGCUAGCGGUCACCUGGCUCAACUACAAUAGCAGAUCCUCAAUCCGCUAAUAACUCGCUACCGGACGAACAAUACCUACAACUGCACGCGAGGUGCAGGGAGUAAAGUGAGUACUUCCAACUUAGCGGUAAUAAGAGUAAAUAAUAACUGAAGGCAAGAAAUCACGUAAGAGUACUCCACCAUGCAAUAUGGGACAACACAACCAUUUAAGAAAAACAGUCCGGGAAAAUUCUUUAGAAAAUAUCUACCUCUGUUUAAAAUUCACUUUCAAAAAUAUGUUUUACCAACAGUUAAGCAAGUAAAUGCAGGACAAGAAGUGCACGUCAGCACAAAAGUCAGCCUCUCGGGCACAUGCAAGUAUGCAUAAUUGAGCUCACAACUCGCCCUUUAGGCAAUAUUCUUAUCUCUGGUCAGCCACUGUUACCUGACCCAUUUACAUCAUACAGUGUCACUAUUACCAGUGUCUCAAAGUUAUCCACUCUGAAAGUGAUCUGACAAUACCAGAACAACAAAUAAAUAUCUCAAGAAAUGACACAAACAAAUAGUGCACAAAUAUAUGAAUGCAAUGCAAUGCAUAUGACGGUACACUCCGGUAUCCGCUGCGGCGUGCAGCCCGAUCCAUUUAAUGUCGAUGGCUCACUGGGGGUGUGUACAGACUCCGGAGGGGCUCCUACAGCCCAAGCACAAUAUGAGCCAGGUAUUGGCAUAAAACAGGCUCUCGGCCUCAAUAUAUAUAUCACCGAUGUGGCGUGCAUCCCGAGCCACCCAUAUAUUCAUACACUGUGACACUGCUGCGGUGCGUAGCCCGGUCCAUGCUCAGUCCAGAAAUGCACAUAAGUCACUUGGGCAAUAUAAACAAGAUAGUCGUCAGCCCAAACGUCGAUAAAAUAUUGUUUAAGUUUUUCAAAGUUUAGAAAGUGACUGAUUUUGCAAAACAGUAUUAAAACCUUAGACCGAGAUCAAAUAGUAUGCAAGUAAUGCAAAAACAUUAAUAUCAUUCCACGAAGGGUUCACAUAGUUGGCACGAAGCCCAAACAUGGAAAUCAGCCUAAAUUAUGAUGAUAACAAAUUAUAUCAGUCAAAUACGCGGUAAAAUAAAUAGUCGGGACGGACCAAGUCACGAUCCCCAAUGGUGCUCUACCCCACGCUCAUAUCCGGCGUGCAAGUCACCUUAAUAUGGCACUAUGAUGUGCAAAUCUGGAGUUUCAAAUCCUCAGGAUAUCUACAAGUAUUACCUACCUCGAACAUGUGAAAUCUCUAGCUCGCGACGCCUUUGCCCCUUAAACCGGCCUCCACGAGCGUCGAAUCUAACCAAAUCAAAGCAAAUACAUCACAAUAUGCUAAGGGACAAUACUCAAUCGAAAACAAUCGAGAAAUAGCAAAAAUCUCGAAACUAGCAAAACCCGAGCCCCGGGACUGCUUCUCAAAAAAUUACAAAACUCACAAUGCCGGGUUCCUCAUCUCGCCAUGAGUCCAUACAUACCAAUAAAUCCCAAAUCCGAGUUCAAAUGACCUAUCAAAACCCAAUUUGAAAUAUCAAAAACUCAAGCGCUAGUUCUCCCCUUUUUAAUCAAAUACCAUGAAUUUAAGUGUUGAUUCUUCAAUAAAAUGAUGUUUCUAAGUCAAAAGACUUACCUCCAAUCGAUACCCGUCGAAAUCCCUCUUCACAUCUACCAAAAAGCUCUCUUGACGGAGUAAAAAUGGUGAAAAUAUGAUAUGGGUCGUGGAUGAAAUAACGCUUAAAGCAUUCUGCCCAGACGAAAAUCCUUCUUCGCGAUGGCAUGACAAGCUCUGAUCUGUGUCGAAAUUGGAUUCAACUCUAACCGGAACGGGUAACAACUCCAAACAUACACUGAAAAUCUCAAAUUUUGUGAUAGACUAAUUGAACAAAUAAGCUACAAAAAAUCAAGUAGCUGAUGCAGCUUUGACUUGAGAAACCAGCCUACACCUUGAAUAAUCAAAAGCAUCAUAGUUUAUUUUUGAUAAGGUAAAAAAAAGAUGCUUGAGAAAGCUAAAUUUGUAAAUUCAGCACUUAUUAGAGAGAGGAAGCAUGUCAGAAUUAGAGUGCAAUGGAGAUGAAGGUCUAACAGAGAGAAAAG
rnacentral:lncRNA from 1 species